GUUACCACAGAGCCCCGCUGCUGUCCGUGGCACCGUACAUCUCGGCCAGCUUUUUGAAGCGCGGCCCCCAGUCCGUCAGGCAGGCGUCCACAUCAUCCCUAAAGAAUCUUUCUACCUGUUACUCUGCAACUGCAAUAUGUUGGUGCCAGAGCUUGUUGUGUGACUCAUCAAAAGCCAAUGCUGUUUGACGUGCUACUGCAGUGCGAAGGACAUGCUGGAAAGUGAUGCAGCAUGGCAGAAACCGGCACACACAAUUUUCUUCCAAAGUUGGUAUAUGCUAAGCUCCAGCCAUCAGGAGAAGAGAGCUUGUGAGGACAUGAAAACCCCUUAUAUUAAUAAAAAAAAAAGCCAGCAUGCAUAAUCUUGCCUGGAUUUAGAAGUGGGAGAAGAUGACUUGCCAGUGCCCUACAUCAGUAACCAAAGAGAUGGGAGACCCCAGCUCAGUUCCCUGCUUCAUCCCGUAUAUCCUAUACGGCUUUGGGAAAUCACUUGGGUCCAGAUCUUUACAGAUACAUGUCUCUCUCCCACUGAUUUUAUUGAACUCAAAGGGAACCAGGCAUAUCCCUGAAGAACAUAAGGCCUCUCCAAAACCUGCUUGAAACUAAAUGGAGAAUUCCAUAUUUAAUGUGCAAUUUACCAGUCCUGAUAAGAGAUGACUAAAAGCAUCUGAUAAACCAGACUGACACUAUGGAAGGAUCAGGCCAAAAUAUAUAAAAAUAUUUUGCCAGAUGAAGUACAUCUUUGGAGGACACAGUCAGACUUCCCAAGUUGCAGUUAGAAGUUACAAGCAAUCCUGCUGUAGUUAAAUGGUUACAACCCUUUAUCUUUAUAUUCUGGGGAGUUUUAACGCUGAAAACCAGCACAACUGGAUCCCCUUAGCUGGCAUAGAUCCUGAAGAAGACAAACUUUCUACCAGGAAAGAAAUGGCCCUGUUCUUAGGGUUUCCCAGUGGGACACAUUCCUUUUUGUUACAUGAAUGGCUUUCAGAGCAGGUGGCUUUACUUGUAUGUGGGGAUUUGAACAUCAUGCGUGGACUGCCAUGCACAGCCUCAGUUCAUUCGGACUAUGGUAAGAUCACUGCUCUUCUCACCCAACACCUUUGCUUUUCCUAUUCAACUCUUUCUUUUUGAAGCCCUACCACCAGAUGGAGGCAAGGAGAUGGGCAGGAAAAUAGAGGAGGAGGAUGUCAAUGCAACUGGAAGUCAAAGGUACAAAGAUCAUUACUAUAGCAGUGAAGUCGUCCUUGGCCAGUCAUAACCCAUCUCUUCUCUGCCCUGCUCAAUAGUGCAGCCGGCCAAUUCUGCAGCCAAAUUUGUAUUAGUUUAAGCAACAUCAGCCGAAGUUUCACACUCAGUCAUGGCAGGAGUAUAUGCCAUGGGCCUCAAAACAACCCCUGAAUUCAGUGGAGGCUUCAGUACUUGACUACUGCCACAAGAGCUUCUUUCGUCAAAUGUGGAAAAUGCAGUGACAUACAAAAGCUCAUGCUGCCAUGGUAAAAUUACCAGUACUGAUGUGCUGCAUAGGAAUGUCUGAUGAAAGACUGGACUUCUUGGGAUUAUAAAACUAAAACUCACUCAGCAUUUAGUACAUGGGGCUGAGGAAUGAAUCCUGGAAGAGGAACUGGUUUUCUUGUACCGAGGAGAUGAAUGUCCACUGUCACUGGAGAUGCUGUGCAGUGGUACAGUAUGAACUGUGCAACCUGUGGCAGCAGGUACAAACAGAUGAUUUGAAACUUGCUCCUGCUGCCCUUAGUUCCACCUGGGAAAUCAGUGAUGGCUGCAGGCAUAGCACUUGCCAGCAAGAAUUUAGCUAGAUCUACAAACAUAUUACAGAGUCAUUAUGGUCUACCAGUUGCAUAUUUAUGCAUUGUAAAACAGCAAUAAAAUAUGUUCACAUGACCAAACAACACUUAUUGUCCAUCUGGCAAGGAAUGUGCAAUGCAAAACUGCCUAAACAUAUAAUAAGAAAGAGGCCAUUACAUUUCAUGGUUUCUUGUGUGAAAAAAACUGCAUGAGAAACAUUGCAUGUACACUAAAAAGCUAAGUUAUAAAAAAGGCAGUUAAAUCACAGAAACACUUAAUAGCUAUAAAACUGAACUAUGUUAUGAAAAGACAUAAUCACCUAGAAUGAUCAAGUUAGAAAAAUGAGAAAAUUCAAGCAAGUGUGCUAGGCCAUCACAUUUUUGAUGACCCCUCAGUUUGCCUUGGACUCCUUCAUUGUCAGCAGUGGCUUUCCCUCCUCAUGCUCUCAUUGCCAGCGCCUCAACACUGCUGCCCCCCUCAUCAGAUCUGGCUUCCACAGGUACAUUCAAACCUCUUUCCAACACUGGUCCCAUGGGGACAGCAAGCAGGUUGCCUUCUCCUGCAAACCGAACAUGCUGCAAAACACAACCAAGAGGAGAAGCAACCCAUGGAAACCUCGCCUUGCCCUCACCCUCCUUCCCCCAGUGCUGAGGCAGGCACCGAGCGGUGUGCCAUGCAGGAGGCAUAUGGCAAGGGCCGCUGUGCCUGAGCGGGCAGGCUCAAUGACACUGGGUAACCCACCACCCUGCCCGCUACGGGCAGCGUGAAGGCCAAGGCAAGGAGAAGUGGGGGCUCUCACCUGCAUAAAGAUCAGCCUUACAGGCAGGAGCUUUGAAGGAACCAUAACUCUUCUGGGGGUGCUCAAAAUUUUGUGGGAUUAAUGGGCUAAGAUAAGUGGCCACAAGACCGCAAGUGGUGGUCUUAUCUGUAACUGUAAAUUCUGACUUUUUGAUGCCCGUGACAGAAGUGCUAGUUAUUUUCUCUGGGCAAUCGCUCUAGAAAAAUGAAAGAGAAAGUUUUUCUUUCUUUCAAAGAAGAUCUCAGUCUGGAUUUAGAAAUUCUUUCUCUCUCUCUCCCCACUACCCCUUUUUGAUAUCUUUUUCUAUAAACACCAGUUGAAUUGUGUUUUUUUUCUUUUUGUUUGAGUGGAUCCAAUGGACAACCUUCCCAACGUUUGUGUAUUGAUAAAAGUAACAUUAUAAAAAACUACAGGCAUAUAUGGAAUUUUACAAACAUUUAUAUACAGUAGGUGGAUUGAGCAGUAUGUACCUGAUGCCAACACAUACCUGGUAUGAUCGAUGACAUAAUUUUUUAUAAUUCCUUCUCCUGACAUACAUGAACUUCUAGUAAAACUGUAUUCCUAACAGCAAAAGUCAAGCUUAUUGAAAAAUUUACUCCCAUGAAACUAUUUUCUUUCAUCAAUAAAUGAGUGAAAAAUUAUUUUAGA